UACAGGGGGGGCAAGCGUUGUUCGGAAUUACUGGGCGUAAAGGGCGCGUAGGCGGCCUGCUAAGUCGAACGUGAAAUCCCUGGGCUCAACCCAGGAACUGCGUCCGAUACUGGUUGGCUUGAAUCCGGGAGAGGGACGUGGAAUUCCAGGUGUAGCGGUGAAAUGCGUAGAUAUCUGGAGGAACACCGGUGGCGAAGGCGACGUCCUGGACCGGCAUUGACGCUGAGGCGCGAAAGCGUGGGUAGCAAACGAGG
rnacentral:rRNA from 1 species